CUCCCUUGCAAUUGCAAUCUAUGUUGCAAGUCACAGUUCGGUGUGCCGAGAGCACCAGGGUCAUAAAUGGGCGAGCCGUCGUCGCCUCGAUAAUUUAUUUAGUUUUUGAUUGGGCGCCACUAUGUUACGAACUUACGAACUGCUUAUUUUUGGUGGCAGUGCCGCAAGCUCAGUCUGCCUCAGGGCACAGUACCUCUAAUGCCACAGCUCGCAACAUAAAAAAAAUCGACCACUCCGCUAUCUUGCAUCACUGAAACUAUCGGACAUCACUAGGAACAAAACCCAAGCGUUCCCUCCCUACCAUGGGUCCCCUCUAUAUGGUGCUGGGCACCACCCAAACUUGGCCGGACGGCGCCCCUCCUCGCGACUACGGCGGCUCCAUCUCCCCCACAGGGACAAUUUACUUACGCAUGGUGGAUUUUACAAACAUUUAAUGUAUUUGACCAAGACUUGGCCACCGUCUUCAGGACUUAAUUAGUCAAAGCCGAGGAUCUGUUUUGAUGGAAAAGGCGAAAAGGCGACGAGGACAAAUACGGCUUUCGGGUCUUAAUCCGGAUAAAUGAACAAUUACACAGUCAACCACUGCUGGCCGGCACGGAGCGAUUGUCGUCGGCCAGCGUCCCCUUCAAGAUAGCUAACCGGCGCACUCGGCCGCCCCGACUUUGUAGUCCGGAACGGACUCACCGGGAAAUACUGGAUGUCGUUGGCGAGGAAAAAAAAAUUUGCUUCUGUUUAUUUUAGAAAUGUUAUUAUUAAAUUUCUCAUGUGAACGGAGCUGGACAUAAAUAAAAUUAUUAAGCAGCGUU